CUGGCUCUUUCUCAGGCUCGUACUUACUCAGCUUUCUGAUACAGCCCAGGAUACAGCAGCUGCCUGCAGUGGUACCAGUCACAGUGGGCUGGACCCUCUUACAUCAGAUACAAAUCAAGACAGUCUCCACCCAAGACACACCCACAGGCCAACCUGAUUAUUGGGAGUUUGUUUUGUGCUUAGGUGGGAAUUUGCACAUCCGCUGAAGGUCCCUGCCAACUGUUGGUUUUUUGCCGGGUCAUUGAAGAGCCAGCGGCCAAUGGCUGGGAAAGGGGAGAGAGGCGGGACUUUUUGGAUUCGCAGGCAAGAAAUGCUAAGGAAAGAAGGGAAAGAAUGACCAGGAUUGGGAAGCAGAGCGAUCAGACUAAAGAGCCCACUAACAGAGCUCUAUGGAGGGUGCAGAGCUGGGAGCAUCGAGUGGCCUAUAAAUAUUUACCGCAACACCAGAUGACAUCAACUACUCAACUAAGACACCUUCUUCAGGAUUUGGAUGGCUGACUGGCUACUUCGGAGCUCUUUGGAGAAACAGUUGGGGUUGAUGGUGUUAGCAGUUCCUACACUGGAAUCAGGUUCUGCCAUGACACCAUUGUUGAGGGUUCCAGGGAGUCAUCCCUGCUCCUCCAUUCCUUGUCAGUAACUCCAGGGCCACCACCCAACUCUAUUCUCCCUCCACCACGCCCCACUUACCUGAGGCUUAUUGUUAUUGACUCAGAUAUGGAGCCACUGUCUCGGGAUGCACACAGCUGACCAAAUUGUGUCUUCUGUCCUCCACCCCAACUCCAAACACAGAGCCCUGAUGACAGCCCCUUUCAUAACUGCGCUCAUAUAAUAAACAAA
rnacentral:lncRNA from 1 species